CGCCCUCGCCGCCCUCCGGCAGCCGCGCCGCUCCCUCCGCUGCCCGCCCAGGCCUGAGCAGCGAGGCCACCGGGCCGCGCGCUCCCAGCUUCGCUCGGACGCGGCUUCGGCCCGCAGAGGGUUCGUGGCCCGGACGCGGCGAGAGCUGGGCCCAGGACGGUGCGUCCGGCCUCGCCCGCGGCUGCUCGCACCAACAAGUUUGAACAAUGAUCACCGUCAACCCCGAUGGGAAGAUAAUGGUCAGAAGAUGCCUGGUCACCCUAAGACCCUUUCGGCUUUUUGUCCUGGGCAUCGGCUUCUUCACUCUCUGCUUCCUGAUGACAUCUCUGGGAGGCCAGUUCUCCGCCCGGCGCCUGGGGGACUCGCCAUUCACCAUCCGCACAGAAGUGAUGGGGGGCCCUGAGUCCCGCGGCGUCCUGCGCAAGAUGAGCGACCUGCUGGAGCUGAUGGUGAAGCGCAUGGACGCACUGGCCAGGCUGGAGAAUGGCAGUGAGCUGCACCGGGCCGGCGGCGACCUGCACUUUCCUGCAGACAGGAUGCCCCCUGGGGCCGGCCUCAUGGAGCGGAUCCAGGCUAUUGCACAGAACGUCUCCGACAUCGCUGUGAAGGUGGACCAGAUCCUGCGCCACAGUCUGCUCCUGCACAGCAAGGUGUCAGAAGGCCGGCGGGACCAGUGUGAGGCACCCAGUGACCCCAAGUUCCCUGACUGCUCAGGGAAGGUGGAGUGGAUGCGUGCCCGCUGGACCUCUGACCCCUGCUACGCCUUCUUUGGGGUGGACGGCACCGAGUGCUCCUUCCUCAUCUACCUCAGUGAGGUCGAGUGGUUCUGCCCCCCGCUGCCCUGGAGGAACCAGACGGCUGCCCAGAGGGCACCCAAGCCCCUCCCCAAAGUCCAGGCAGUUUUCCGAAGCAACCUGUCCCACCUUCUGGACCUGAUGGGCAGCGGGAAGGAGUCCCUGAUCUUCAUGAAGAAGCGGACCAAGAGGCUCACAGCCCAGUGGGCGCUGGCUGCCCGGCGCCUGGCACAGAAGCUGGGGGCCACCCAGAGGGACCAGAAGCAGAUCCUGGUCCACAUCGGCUUCCUGACAGAGGAGUCCGGGGACGUGUUCAGCCCUCGGGUCCUGAAGGGCGGACCCCUAGGGGAGAUGGUGCAGUGGGCGGACAUUCUGACUGCACUCUAUGUCCUGGGCCAUGGCCUGCGGGUCACAGUCUCCCUGAAGGAGCUGCAGAGGCAAAGGAGACUGAGGAGUAGCCAAGAGCAAGCCAGAUGUGGAGUCAUGGGUGCCUGUGAGAAGAUGCUUCUAGAAGGAGAUGUGGCCAGCAACACAUUGCUCAUUGAAAAGCCAAGUAAGAAGGAGACUGAAAAAUGUCCAAAAAAUUUGGUCACAUGGGGCUGGGUGGGGCGGCUCACUCCUGUAAUCCCAGCACUUUGGGAGGUCACGGCGGGAGGAUUACUUGAUUCCAGGAGUUGGAGACCAGCCUGGGCAAGAUAGUGAGACCUGGUCUUUACCAAAAACAAAAAAAUUAGCCAAGUGCGCCUGUGGUCCCAGCUACUCAGGCGACUGAGGAAGGAGGAUCACUUGAGCCUGGGAAGUCGAGGCUACAGUCAGCCGUGAUCAUGCUACUGCACUCUAGCUUGGGUGACAAAGCAAGACUCUGUCUC
rnacentral:sRNA from 1 species